rnacentral:rRNA from 1 species
UUGAACGCUGGCGGCAGGCCUAACACAUGCAAGUCGAGCGGAUGAAGGGAGCUUGCUCCUGGAUUCAGCGGCGGACGGGUGAGUAAUGCCUAGGAAUCUGCCUGGUAGUGGGGGAUAACGUCCGGAAACGGGCGCUAAUACCGCAUACGUCUUGAGGGAGAAAGUGGGGGAUCUUCGGACCUCACGCUAUCAGAUGAGCCUAGGUCGGAUUAGCUAGUUGGUGGGGUAAAGGCCUACCAAGGCGACGAUCCGUAACUGGUCUGAGAGGAUGAUCAGUCACACUGGAACUGAGACACGGUCCAGACUCCUACGGGAGGCAGCAGUGGGGAAUAUUGGACAAUGGGCGAAAGCCUGAUCCAGCCAUGCCGCGUGUGUGAAGAAGGUCUUCGGAUUGUAAAGCACUUUAAGUUGGGAGGAAGGGCAGUAAGUUAAUACCUUGCUGUUUUGACGUUACCAACAGAAUAAGCACCGGCUAACUUCGUG